UGGGGAAUAUUGCGCAAUGGGGGAAACCCUGACGCAGCGACGCCGCGUGUGGGAUGAAGGUCUUCGGAUUGUAAACCACUGUCGCGAGGGACGAAGCUCUGACGGUACCUCGAAAGGAAGCACUGGCUAACUCUGUGCCAGCAGCCGCGGUAAUACAGAGGGUGCGAGCGUUGUCCGGAAUCACUGGGCGUAAAGGGCGCGUAGGCGGCCCGGUAAGUAGGGGGUGAAAUCUCAUGGCUCAACUGUGAGGCUGCCUUCUAGACUGCCAGGCUUGAGCACAGUAGAGGCGAGUGGAAUUCCCGGUGUAGCGGUGGAAUGCGUAGAGAUCGGGAAGAACAUCGGUGGCGAAGGCGGCUCGCUGGGCUGUUGCUGACGCUGAGGCGCGAAAGCGUGGGGAGCAAACAGGAUUAGAUACCCACGUAGUCCCUGAGCGGGCUGGCAAGGCGCAU
rnacentral:rRNA from 1 species